rnacentral:rRNA from 1 species
GAUUACCCGCUGAACUUAAGCAUAUCAAUAAGCGGAGGAAAAGAAACUAACAAGGAUUCCCCUAGUAACGGCGAGUGAAGAGGGAAAAGCCCAAAUUUGUAAUCUGGCUCUUUUAGAGUCCGAGUUGUAAUUUUGAGAACUGUUUUCAGUGCUGGACCAUGUUUAAGUCUGUUGAAAAACAGCAUCAUUGAGGGUGAUAAUCCCGUUCAUGAUAUGGACUACCAGUACUUUAUGAUACAGUCUCUAAGAGUCGAGUUGUUUGGGAAUGCAGCUCAAAGUGGGUGGUAAAUUCCAUCUAAGGCUAAAUAUAGGUGAGAGACCGAUAGCAAACAAGUACCGUGAGGGAAAGAUGAAAAGAACUUUGGAAAGAGAGUUAACAGUACGUGAAAUUGCUGAAAGGGAAACAAUUGAAGUUAGCCUUGUUAUUGUCAGUUCAGCUCUUUUAGAGUGUAUUCUGAUGAUUAACGACCAACAUCAGUCUUUGAGUGCUGGAUAAGGGUUUUGGAAAUGUAGCAGUCUCGGCUGUGUUAUAGUCCAUUACUUUGAUACAGUGCUUGGGAUUGAGGAUCGCAGUAAGCCAUUUUAUGGUGGACCAAAUUUUUGGUCUUCUUACUGAGGAUGUUGGUGAAAU